rnacentral:rRNA from 1 species
CGCGGCCUAUCAGCUUGUUGGUGGGGUAAUGGCCUACCAAGGCGACGACGGGUAGCCGGCCUGAGAGGGCGACCGGCCACACUGGGACUGAGACACGGCCCAGACUCCUACGGGAGGCAGCAGUGGGGAAUAUUGCACAAUGGGCGGAAGCCUGAUGCAGCGACGCCGCGUGAGGGAUGACGGCCUUCGGGUUGUAAACCUCUUUCACCCAUGACGAAGCGCAAGUGACGGUAGUGGGAGAAGAAGCGCCGGCCAACUACGUGCCAGCAGCCGCGGUAAGACGUAGGGCGCGAGCGUUGUCCGGAAUUAUUGGGCGUAAAGAGCUCGUAGGCGGUUUGUCGCGUCGACUGUGAAAACCUACAGCUUAACUGUGGGCUUGCAGUCGAUACGGGCAGACUUGAGUUCGGUAGGGGAGACUGGAAUUCCUGGUGUAGCGGUGAAAUGCGCAGAUAUCAGGAGGAACACCGGUGGCGAAGGCGGGUCUCUGGGCCGAUACUGACGCUGAGGAGCGAAAGCGUGGGGAGCGAACAGGAUUAGAUACCCUGGUAGUCCACGCCGUAAACGGUGGGAACUAGGUGUGGGGGACUUCCACGUCCUCCGUGCCGUAGCUAACGCAUUAAGUUCCCCGCCUGGGGAGUACGG